rnacentral:rRNA from 1 species
UACGUAGGGGGCUAGCGUUGUCCGGAAUCAUUGGGCGUAAAGAGCGUGUAGGCGGUCCGGUAAGUCCGCUGUGAAAGUCGGGGGCUCAACCCUCGAAUGCCGGUGGAUACUGUCGGGCUAGAGUGCGGAAGAGGCGAGUGGAAUUCCUGGUGUAGCGGUGAAAUGCGCAGAUAUCAGGAGGAACACCGGUGGCGAAGGCGGGUCUCUGGGCCGAUACUGACGGCUGAGGAGCGAAAGCCCAGGGGAGCAAACGGG